UACGAAGGGGGCUAGCGUUGUUCGGAUUUACUGGGCGUAAAGCGCGUGUAGGCGGGCCUUUAAGUUGGGGGUGAAAUCCCGGAGCUCAACUCCGGAACUGCCUCCAAAACUGGCGGCCUUGAGCAGAGGAGAGGCGAGUGGAAUUCCGAGUGUAGAGGUGAAAUUCGUAGAUAUUCGGAGGAACACCAGUGGCGAAGGCGACUCGCUGGACUCUUGCUGACGCUGAGACGCGAAAGCGUGGGGAGCAAACAGG
rnacentral:rRNA from 1 species